rnacentral:rRNA from 1 species
AGAGUUUGAUCCUGGCUCAGGACGAACGCUGGCGGCGUGCCUAAUACAUGCAAGUCGAGCGGAUCUUGUCCUUCGGGACAAGGUUAGCGGCGGACGGGUGAGUAACACGUAGGCAACCUGCCCUCAAGACUGGGAUAACCUCCGGAAACGGAUGCUAAUACCAGAUAAGCGAUUUUCUCUCCUGGGAAGAUCGAGAAAGACGGAGCAAUCUGUUACUUGAGGAUGGGCCUGCGGCGCAUUAGCUAGUUGGUGAGGUAACGGCUCACCAAGGCGACGAUGCGUAGCCGACCUGAGAGGGUGAUCGGCCACACUGGGACUGAGACACGGCCCAGACUCCUACGGGAGGCAGCAGUAGGGAAUCUUCCGCAAUGGACGCAAGUCUGACGGAGCAACGCCGCGUGAGUGAGGAAGGCCUUCGGGUCGUAAAGCUCUGUUGCCAGGGAAGAACGGGUGGAAGAGUAACUGCUUCCGCCAUGACGGUACCUGAGAAGAAAACCCCGGCUAACUACGUGCCAGCAGCCGCGGUAAU